GCGGCAAUCGUCUAGUCUGGUUAGGACACGGGACUGUGGCUCCCGUAACCCGAGUUCAAAUCUCGGUUGCCGCC
rnacentral:tRNA from 1 species